GGGGUGGUAGCUCAGUUGGUUAGAGCGCCAGCCUGUCACGCUGGAGGCCGAGGGUUCGAGCCCCUUCCAUCCCG
rnacentral:tRNA from 1 species